AGUAAAAACGCAUUAGCAUCGUUAUUUUCAUAUUAAGAUAAAUUAUUAUCGAUACAAACUCAGUAUCGGAAAAUCGACCCACCCACCCCUAGAGCCUACGAGUGAACGCAUUGUGAACAACCGAAGAGUAUGACAACUGAACAGCGGCUUAUUGCUCACAGGGAGGCUUGCGCCAAUUCUUAUCUUUCUGUGGCUUUACGGAACUAGUUUUUCAAGCUCGUUGAAGCACUAUGGAAGUAACGUAAAGAAUAGUGAAAGAGGGAAUAUGGGAAUAUUUCGAAAACAGCCAUUGUAUAGUGUGGAGGUGGGAAACCGCAAGUUCUUCCUUGUUUGAAGUAAGUUAACGUUAGGCCUGAGCGAAAAAUCGUGUUGACUUUUCAUGGGAAAAAAAACAGCAAUAAAAGUAAUCGAUUUUGUUCGUGACAGUAUAAUUUCCGAAUAAACUUGUGAAAAUAGUGCUGUAUCGAUCAUUCACGAUGACGGAUCCUUACGAGCACAUCUCAAAAACACCAAGAAGAUCAGGACCUAAAAUACAUUUACAAGGGGCAGGCAGACAGAAGCAUGAAUUAUAUCCUGAGGCUCAGAAUAAUUUAUCAAGAAUGGUACAACAGGGCGGAGGUAUGGCUUC